CACAGGUUAGCAGGCUGGUGUAUUAAUUAGCUUUUGCUGUGACAACAACACACUCAAUAUCUUGUUGGCUUGCAACAAAGAACAUUAAUUUCCUACUCUUGUGUCUGAAAAUCAGCUACAGAAGCUUCACUUCAAAAGUGAUUUGGGUUCAGAUCCUCUCCAAACGUGUUUUUAUCCCAGGAUCCAGGUUAAAAAAGCAUCUCCUACCAGGGGUGUUCUGUUUUCAUGGUCAAAGGCUGCAGCACAUACAGUGAGUAUGUCUCCGCUGCCUAGGCUUGGAACUGGGAUACAAUAUAUUUGUCAAAGCAAGUCACAUAAUCAAGCCCCCAGAUCAAUGUGACAGGACAUAUACUCUAAUCCACAGACAGUGUAAUUAUUUGAAUAACAAAAUCUACCACAGUCCUUCUUUUUAGUCAUAAAUAUCCACAUAAUUCAAAAUACAAAUUACAUUCACCCUUUCUUCAAUGAAGAAACCCUAAAGCUUUAUUCCAAUGUGGUAUCUUGCUUGAAAUCCAGGACCUCAGGGUAAUCGCUUUAUCUGGUCUAGAUAUAAGUCCUCUUGAUCCAGAGACCUCUGACCUAAAAUGACAAGUUAUCUGCUCUCAAAACAUUCAGCAUACAAUGUGGGACCAGAAACAGGAUAACUACAGAAAACACUCGUAUCCAGAAAAGGAUUCAGACUACAGAAGCCAUAGUUACAUGGAGCGUGUUCUGAAGCUUGAAUUCAGGAGUAAAUGAGGAUAAGCAAAUGACACAGUACAUUUAAAUGGCCUCUCUGUAAAUGUAGCACAUGAUUCUGCAAUGGCUAAGGAUAUGUCACACAGGAUGCUUAUAUUUAAAAAGCAGGACAAGACAGUCUGGAGAACUUUUCAGCUCCUGCUGUUAACACACUAACACGAAACAGACACUCUGGUGGACUCCCUGCAAGUAGGCUGGGAGCAGCUGAUGCUGAGGCUUGUCACAGCACUCAGAGAAGUUCCUGUGAGCCGGAAUUGUUGAAGCUAAGUAAAUUACUCUCCUGCUUGGGUGCUCCCCUUGCCUUACCUUUGUGCCUCUCUAGGGCUUGGGUUUUGCCCAGCUUGUGGCUGAUGAACCAGAACCUAACUCUGUAUGCUGAGCGAUUGCAAAAAUGAAGGCAUUCAUGGUGAUGAUGAUUUAAAUGGUAACCCUUGGAGACUCGGGUUUGGAAUCAGCAUCAUGAAACUGUCUAUAUUAUUGAAUGUGAAAAACACAAGUCAAACACAGCAAUGAAUUAAGUAGUACAAAAACGUACAGUUGUUUCCUGCAUUAACGUGUAAUGUUGAAGCUUCCCUAAGCACAUCAAGAGAAGUACAUUGCGGAAACUACUCGGGCUUCUGUUCUCAAAAGGCAGGCAGACUACUCCGUGCUAAACCAUCUAAAUGUAUUGUAACAUAAUUAGAGUUGUUCAGAGUUCUAGGGAACAGCCUGUCAAUUCUUCCUGGAUUUCCUUUUUAAUUUGCCUCGGGAGCAUAGAAGACACUUCAGAGCCUAUUUAAAUAGAGACAAUCUUGCACAGGUAGAAAUGUAAAUAUCCCUGUAAGGCUAAGUGAUGAUGCUAAAAUAAGCUGUUGGAGAUAUUUGCCAACUGGUUUAAGCUACACAUUUGAGGAAGCAUGUCCUCUAGGGAGAUCAUUUUGAAUCUUGCAUUUGCCUAAUAAUUCUUCCCCAUUCCUAAAUAUGGGGAAUAUAUUUUAAAAACUGAGGAUUUUGUUAUUUUAAAAUUUUUAUAAUUUUGGAUCUUAUGACUGAGCAAUUCCAAAUAUUUAUUAAAUGUAUGUGUGCGUGCGUGUGUAUUCACCAAACAGCAUGUCUAAGAAUGUUUCAGCAGCAUCAUUUGGAAACAGCCCACAUAACCUACCUGCAGUAGAAUAGAUAAGUAAAUUGUGGUAUAAGGGAAUACUAUAAGGAAUAGUGAUAUAAAGGAAUACUAUACAACAACAAAAAGAAACAAUUAUGACUACCAGCAAGAUGGAUAAGUACCACCAAUGUAAUGUUGAUGAUGGAAACAGAUACAAAAUAGUACAUUGAUACAUAUUCAUGAUUACACAUAUAUUGUUCAAAAUCAGGCAAUUUUGAAGCUGCAAGUCAAGAUAGUAGUUAAUAAUAGAUAAGGAAACAAGGAGCCAUUCAAGGUUCUGGGGUGCUGGAAGUAUUUUCUCUCUUCAUCCAGACAUACAUGGGUGUGUUUAGUUCAGAAAAAUUAAUUGGACUCUACACUUAUGGCUUAUAUGCUAUCCUGUUAGAUAUUGCACUCAGUGGAAAUGUACUGAAACAAAAUAAAGUUGUUUCACAUUUUAAUUUUUACCCAAAGAAAAAAAUUUAAAAAGCUCAUUUUACAUUCUCAUUGUUCUACUAACAGUCAAACAAUAUAAAACAAGCUUAUUUUGUAUAAUAUUUUAAUUCAUUUUGUUAAUACAAAACACAACAUUGAACAAACUAUAAAAAAGUUUAAUGAUUUUUCAUAAAUUAUAAAUUUGUAUCCAAGUAACCAAAACAUAGAUUCAAAAAUAAAAUAAAUAAAUAUAUUCCUAAAUAGAUAUAUGGACAACCAUAGAGAAAUACCCUAUUCUUAUUUAAACAUGACUCUGCUGAUAACCUAUGAAUGAAUAGGUGCUUUUUUAAAAUAUUCAUUGGUUCACAAUAUUUGGAUAAUUUACUUCUGUGUCUACAUAAGAAGGUAGUCGAAAUUAAAAAAAGAAAUAAAAUAUAAGUUUGGUUUUGCUCUUUGUAAUUUGAUACAUGUCAAUAACCAAUUUAAUAACAUUUUAAACAAUACAUUUGGUUUAAAAACUUUCAAGAGAAAAAUUUGCUACCAUGUUGACUCUCUGACUGGUCUUCUUUCCUUAGAGCUCUUUGUCCUAUAACAAAUCCCCCUGCCUCUAUCAUCCACCAGAUAUAUGACUUAGCACAUCACAAAGUCUUGGAAUGCUUUGAUUUCAUGAAGCAAAAUGAUGCCUUCGGCCUCUUAUUUUGGUCAAUUUUAUGAGGCUUCUGUCUCUCUUUUUAUUCCCAUUAAUUCAUUCAUUCAAUAAUUUAUUCUUAGUACAGUGAUAACACAAAGAAUUAUAUAACAUUAUAGUUUCUCCCAAAGAGUUUAAAUGAGUUAAAAGAAAAAUACGCAAGUGACUUAAAUAUUAACUUACAAAAGAGUUCACAAGCAGUAGAUGAAGAAGUUAUAUAGAGAAGAGAGAAAAAUCACAAGUUCCAAAGACAGGAUUCCCAACUUUUUUACUUUAGCAACUAAAACAUGGCUGAGGCAAAAAGAGCAAGAUUUGCCACAAACUGAACUCUUCUUCAGUAUUCUGUAGAGAUAUUUUACAUAAUUUGAUAAUGUUCACUUGUGUUUGGAACUAGUAAUUAUUUUAAAAUAAGGUCCUUAACCCAAGCAAUGUAUACAGCCAAAGCAAAAUAAAACACGCAAGCAAAAACCAGUAUUUUAUGAAAAUUAAAAAUGAAGCCAAUUUCAAUUGUUCAUUGCUUAACUGAGCCUGAAUUGUAUUUUCUUUGUAUAUUUUUGCACUGAACUUCUUGAUUCAGUUAUUAUGCAUUUGGCUACUGGAGAAAUCAACUUUAACUAUUUAAGAGAAAGAAAAGAAAUUUUCUGGGAGAAUCUAAAUGGUUCAGAGAAACUUCUCAAGCCUAAGUCUGUGUUCAACUUGACAGUAGAAACAGCAGCUUAUUGUUGUAUCUCCCAGUGUCUAUGAGAAUGUUUGAGUUUGAACAUGUAAUAGAAGCCUGAUGAAUAGUGGCUAAGUGGAUGAAUAAAUUAAAACAAUUAGUGAAUCAGUUCAAAUCAGAGCCAACCAGAACCAACACUUGUGUAAUAUUUAAAACUCUCAGAAUAUUCUUAUACUUGAAUCUGGACCAAAUCAGCAUUUGGUUUGGCCUUAAAAAUCAAUUUUAAAAAAGACUAAUACCUCAAUGCAAAUGAUCAAAAAACAUAAAUGUAAAGUUUAUAAAAGAAGAAAUACAAAUAUAUCGAUAUACAUAUGAAAAUCUUUUAACGUUGCUGGUUGCUUAGUUAUUAAAAUGCAAAAUAAAGUAAAUAUAAGACACUAUCAGAGUCCAUGGAAUCUAGUUCAAAUCUGGGCACACAAUGUUUAUAUAAUAACCAUUCCAUGUAUUGAAUAUUCUCUUUAUUGAAUAAAAGAAUGACACAAUUCCAAUCUCAGCCAUAAAAAUGGCAGUAAUUGAAUAAAUUAUAAAAGGUAAUAUUUCAAGUAUGUGGUGGGAGGGGAAAUAGGUACAACCUUUCUAGAAAAAAAUCUGGCAAAAUGUAGUAAAAAUCUUUAAGAAGUUAAAGUAAUUCACCUGACUAGUUUAUAUAAGAAAUUGGUGCUUAAAAAACCCAAAGCUGUGCAUAGCUAUUUACAUAUAAGAAUAUUCAUUUCUGUGCUCUUGAUAAUAGUAAUAAGCUGAAAGAUAAUUUAAAUGUUGAAAUGAUGAAAUUAAUUAAAUACACUCACGGGGUGGAAUAUUAUGCAACCAUUAAAACACAUUGUCAAAUAAUAUUUUUCACACUAUAAUGAUUAAUGGAAUAAUAUUUACAAUAUAACGUUCAGCAGAUACAAUUCUGGAUACAAAAUAGUUUCUUAUAUAACAUAUACACAGAUAUAUACUUAAAAAUUA
rnacentral:lncRNA from 1 species